rnacentral:rRNA from 1 species
UACGUAGGGGGCAAGCGUUGUCCGGAAUUAUUGGGCGUAAAGAGCGCGUAGGCGGUCCGAUAAGUCGGCUGUGAAAGUCAGGGGCUCAACCCUUGAAAGCCGGCCGAUACUGUCGGGCUCGAGUCCGGAAGAGGCGAGUGGAAUUCCUGGUGUAGCGGUGAAAUGCGCAGAUAUCAGGAGGAACACCGAUGGCGAAGGCAGCUCGCUGGGACGGUACUGACGCUGAGACGCGAAAGCGUGGGAGCAAACAGG